GCGGCAGGCCUAACACAUGCAAGUCGAGCGGUAGAGAGGUGCUUGCACCUCUUGAGAGCGGCGGACGGGUGAGUAAUGCCUAGGAAUCUGCCUGGUAGUGGGGGAUAACGCUCGGAAACGGACGCUAAUACCGCAUACGUCCUACGGGAGAAAGCAGGGGACCUUCGGGCCUUGCGCUAUCAGAUGAGCCUAGGUCGGAUUAGCUAGUUGGUGGGGUAAUGGCUCACCAAGGCGACGAUCCGUAACUGGUCUGAGAGGAUGAUCAGUCACACUGGAACUGAGACACGGUCCAGACUCCUACGGGAGGCAGCAGUGGGGAAUAUUGGACAAUGGGCGAAAGCCUGAUCCAGCCAUGCCGCGUGUGUGAAGAAGGUCUUCGGAUUGUAAAGCACUUUAAGUUGGGAGGAAGGGCAGUUACUUAAUACGUGACUGUCUUGACGUUACCGACAGAAUAAGCACCGGCUAACUCUGUGCCAGCAGCCGCGGUAAUACAGAGGGUGCAAGCGUUAAUCGGAAUUACUGGGCGUAAAGCGCGCGUAGGUG
rnacentral:rRNA from 1 species